UGACCGGGCUAUACAUGUGGUCAAACUAUUACUCAAAGCACUGAUGGUUCACGGGUUUGGUCACUAUGACAAAACUGAAAUAAAAUAAGAUGAAAUCAAAAAAAGAAAAGGAAGAAGGAAGAUUUUACCUAUUUAAGGUUAGACUGUUAGCUAAACUAGCAGGGACACACCAAAUACCUCAUCAAAA